GCUUAUGGGUGAGCAAAGAAAGUGGUUUCUUGAGAUGGAAACUACUCCUGGUGAAGUUGCUGUGAA
rnacentral:pre_miRNA from 1 species